GACUCGGAGCCACUCUGUAAGCCAAAAAAGCCGUGAGUCAAGAGGUUAGUGACCGUGCGGUAUCGGCAGAGAAAGUAGAGAAAGUGACACAAGUCACAUAAGCAAGCUGUCAAUAGGGAUAAAUGCAGUCAUUUUGCAUACAUAAUCGACUUUUGAACCAUUCGAUUCGUGGGUCCCCUAAACCUAUGGAUGGUUUCAUAGCGUCUUUCAGGAGGCUCAGCUUGAAUCGAAACGCUUCGCUGGAGUUAACGAAGGAUGUUUCAUGUCCU
rnacentral:lncRNA from 1 species